GGAGAACGUGAUCGAAGCAGCAUCGUCUUAUUUCCGCGCAAAAAACUGCUAACACCUGUGGUAGCAUUUGAACCUUUUGUGUGGUGCGUUUGUAGAGUUGUGAGCAAAGGAUCAACGGUGGUGUACUUUGUGGCGUUUGUGUUCGUCCUCUGUUGUGAGUGUUCACAAUAACAUAUAACCUCGUCCUUAAAUCUGACUUUGAUUAACACACAAAUAAACCAAGAUCGGGUAACCAACCCCGGUGGCGGUUAAAUUACUCCACAGCACAAUAAAGUUCCACAUCAACACGCGGGGCAGAUAUGGAUAAAGUCCAGACAAGAUCUUCCCGCCCCGAAUGAGCUAGCAAAUUGCCCGAAAGGAGCAGAGCCAUCUGUAGGAAAAAAAAAAAAAA
rnacentral:lncRNA from 1 species